rnacentral:tRNA from 1 species
AGUAGUCUAGUUUUGAGGAUUCGAGUUUUGGGGACUUGGGGCCCCGUAAGGGCUUGUUGAC